GAGACUGCCGGUGGUCAAACCGGAGGAAGGUGGGGAUGACGUCAAGUCCUCAUGGCCUUUAUGACCAGGGCUACACACGUACUACAAUGGCCGGUACAAAGGGCAGCGACACAGCGGAUGUGAACGCGAAAUCCCGAAAAGCCGGUCUCAGUCCGGAUUGGAGUCUGCAACUCGACUCCAUGAAGUUGGAAUCGCUAGUAAUCGCGUAUCAGCAUGACCGCGGUCGAAUUACCGGUUCCGGCCUU
rnacentral:rRNA from 1 species